rnacentral:tRNA from 1 species
GCGUGAGUGAGCUGAGUGGCGAAGGCAGUUGACUGUAAAUCAACCACGUAAGAUACAACGUAGGUUCGACUCCUACCUCACGUA